CACUCUAGACUUUUCAGCUUCUUCUCAACCUUCCUCUUCUCUCUCUUCAUCUCUCUGUCUUCUCUCUUCCUCUCUUCCUCACUUCAUCUCAUUCUCUCCAACUUUUUAUUUUCUCUCUUACUCCAUCACUCUCCGUCUUCUCUCUUCGUCUCUAUUGCAUGGAUCUUUUUCUCAGUUUUUUACUUAGAUUCAUGACCAUCGUGACCAACAAGAAAAAGAUCUACUUUUGUUAUAUGACGAGAUUGGUUGGAUCGAGGAUUUUUUCUCAGAUCUGGUGUUCGAUGUAUAUUUUGUUUUCAUAUGUUCUUUUCUUUUGGUUUGGUUGAUGUUUUGCUGUGAGAUUUUUCAGCACCUUUAUAAAUACAACGAAGGUAACAACUUCUCAUUUUCAUUAUUUUCGUUUUUUUACCAUCUUCUCAUAUCUAUUUUUUACGAGAUGUUGGAUCGCUAUUUUUGUCUCAAAGCUUCUUCAUCACCUUCACGAAUAAGAAACAGGUAACAAGUUCCCAUUUGUUUUCGUUCUUCUACCAUCUUCUCAGAUUUACUUUUUUUCUAUCAUUUUUGUGUUUGAUGGUUAUUUUUCUCUUAGAUCUACUUAUUUUUGUUCUAAUAUUUUGUUUGAUGAAUCUUUUGCUUACAUAUCUACUCUUCUUUGUUGCUGACAUUGGUUGGAUCAAGUUUUUUUUCUCAAAUCUGUUGUUCGAUGGAUAUUUUUUACUCAUAUCUACUUUUCUUUUGGGUUAUUUUUUGUUCGGACUUCUUCAUGACCUUCACGAAUAAAAGAAGGUAACAAAUUCUUAUUUUUCUUACGUUCUUCUACCAUCUUCUCAUAUCAUCUUUUCUCAUUUGUUUUCGUUGUUCUACCAUCUUCUCAUAUCUAUUUUUUUUUCUAUCAUUUUUGUGUUUGAUUGUUAUUUUUCUAUUAGAUCUACCUUUUUUUUUUCUAUAUUAUUUUCUUUGAUGAAUAUUUAGCUUUCAGAUAUACUUUUCUUUGUUGUCGAUAUUGGUUUGAUCGAGUUUGUUUUUUCUCAGAUUUGUUGUUCGAUGGAUAUUUUAUUCUCAUAUCUUAAUUUCUUUUGGUUUAUUUUUUCCUAUGAGAUUCUUGAUGACCUUCAUGAAGAUCAUUUGUAAAAGAUGAAUGAAAUCUUCAAGAAGGAGAAAACUGAAGAUCUCUUCAAAGCCAAAGGCAAGGCUAUCAAGCACGAAUAACGUUCUUAAAAGGUGUUUGAGAAGAAUGAGGGAGCCCAAAGGUGUUUGUUGAAGAUGCAAACAUUUAUACAAUUGCUAAGAACAUAAGAGCACAUAGACCUAUGUGGGAAAAUUUAAUCUUGGUAGAACAUUUAUGUUUGACAGAUGUCAUAAAAGCACACAAACCAAUGCAGGAAAUUUAAUCUUUGAGCAGAACAAUUAUGGUGACAAAGGUUGGAAAUGAUGUGUUGGAGAAGACAUGUAUAUACAACAUUCAUUUAUUAUAGUAAGAAAGUGUCAUGUCCCAAAAAAACAUAA